GUUUGAUUAGCUCAGUGGUAGAGCAGCCGAGGUACUCUGCUAGUCGUAGGUUCGACUCCUACAUCAAACACCC
rnacentral:tRNA from 1 species